rnacentral:ncRNA from 2 species
CUGACACGCGCGGGAGAGACCUUGCCGAUUCGGUUCACCGGAACGGACAAGGCGCCGAAGGAGCAACCGCCCCGGAAUCUCUCAGGCAAAAGGACCGCGCGGCGUCU